rnacentral:lncRNA from 1 species
AGGUGUCCUUCCUCACGUCACUGUGGAACCAUCCGUUCUUCACGAUUAGCUGUAUAACGCUGAUAGGCUUGUUCUUUGCUGGAAUACACAAAAGAGUAGUCGCACCAUCAAUUAUAGCUGCUCGAUGUCGAACGGUAUUAGCAGAAUACAAUAUGUCUUGUGAUGACACAGGAAAGCUAAUUUUGAAACCUAGACCUCAUGUUCAAUGACAGUCUGCACUAUUGUAAGGGAACCUAAACCAGUCUUUCCUCAAGUAAGUGAUACCGCAGAAUACCAUAAAGGAUUUCUUUUAGAGUUGGACAUGUGACGGUUUAGCAGCAACUGACAAGAAGCGUGCAAUACUUGCCCAGAUGAUCUUGACGAUGCUGGCCGAGCUCUUGGCGCCUCAGUACCUUUGAUUACCUGUGUUCAGUAUUAGUGUCACUUCAGCACUUCAGCCCCUGCACAGAACUCUGCAGAUGAAGUUUGUGUGUAUUACUAAG